GCCGAUUGUAUAGACUAACAUAGAUGUAUAGUCUAGAGAGUGCAGAGCUCAGAGUCAGUUCAAAUAAAACUACUUAAGUAAAAUGCUCCUCAAUUUCUCAAUUCUUCCCGGACAAACAUCAACCAAUUGAAUCGAACUCUAAUCGGAAUCCGAAUCGAAUGACUAAAGAUAAUAGUCGCCCAUAAGAAGGAUGAACUGAAGAUGUUGCUGCUGUCAUAAAUGACUAUGAGCAUCAAGAGAACCCAUAAAUCAGUUGCUCAUUGAGUUUUUUCGUACAGAGUCGGGAAAAGACGCUUAUUUGCAGACAACGAGAAACUGUCGAAAUUAAUCGUCGAUUAGAAGAAUGUACUGAAGAUUACUAUUCGUUUCUUACUUCCGUCGAACUGGUGUUACACUAUAAUUCAGCAUUUCGGCUAUGAUGGCGAUUGCAAACUCUUUCAGCUCUCUCGGAUCGGUGUAAGUGUCGGAAUUCAGGCCAGCGGCUGCGAAAGCCGCCCUGAUGGUGCCCUGCAUCUGGAGUAUGAUUUCGUUUCUUCCAAAUUAUUGAGUAAGGUUAUCUAGACGAUUGUAUAGUCUAGAGAGUACAGAGCUCGGAGUCAGUUCAAAUAAAAUAUUUAACUAAAAUGCCCCUCAAUUUCUCAAUUCUUCCCGGACAAGCAUCAUCCAGUUGAAUCGAACCCUAAUCCGAAUCAGCAUCAAUAGAACCCAAAAAAGAUACUUAUAGUAUUUGCAGACAACGAGAAACAGUUAUUCGCGAGCUCUGAUUUUGAUUACAAUCUAAAGCAAGCCUCUUCAGAGCUCUGGGAGAAUGUGGGGGUCUGAAUUGCCAAAAAUAUACUGUUCCAUUCCAUCCACUUAAGAGAAUAUAUUAUAUAUUGUUAUUAUAUUA